rnacentral:rRNA from 1 species
GACGAACGCUGGCGGCGUGCUUAACACAUGCAAGUCGAACGGAAAGGCCCCUUCGGGGGUCCUCGAGUGGUGAACAGGUGAGUAACACGUGAGUAACCUGCCCUUGACUUCGGGAUAACUUCAGGAAACUGGGGCUAAUACCGGAUAGGAAUCCUUGCUGCAUGGUGGGGGUUGGAAAGCUUCGGCGGUUUUGGAUGGACUCGCGGCUUAUCAGCUUGUUGGUGGGGUAGUGGCUUACCAAGGCUUUGACGGGUAGCCGGCCUGAGAGGGCGACCGGCCACAUUGGGACUGAGAUACGGCCCAGACUCCUACGGGAGGCAGCAGUGGGGAAUAUUGCACAAUGGGCGGAAGCCUGAUGCAGCAACGCCGCGUGCGGGAUGACGGCCUUCGGGUUGUAAACCGCUUUCAGCAGGGGCGAAGCUUGUGGUGACGGUACCUGCAGAAGAAGCACCGGCUAACUACGUG